UACGUAGGGUGCAAGCGUUGUCCGGAAUUAUUGGGCGUAAAGAGCUCGUAGGCGGUCUGUCACGUCGGCUGUGAAAACCCGAGGCUCAACCUCGGGCCUGCAGUCGAUACGGGCAAACUAGAGUACUGCAGGGGAGACUGGAAUUCCUGGUGUAGCGGUGAAAUGCGCAGAUAUCAGGAGGAACACCAAUGGCGAAGGCAGAUCUCUGAGCCGUAACUGACGCUGAGGAGCGAAAGCAUGGGGAGCGAACAGG
rnacentral:rRNA from 1 species